rnacentral:rRNA from 1 species
AUUGAACGCUGGCGGCAUGCCUUACACAUGCAAGUCGAACGGCAGCGCGGACUUCGGUCUGGCGGCGAGUGGCGAACGGGUGAGUAAUACAUCGGAACGUACCCUGUUGUGGGGGAUAACUAGUCGAAAGAUUAGCUAAUACCGCAUACGACCUGAGGGUGAAAGUGGGGGACCGGAAACGGCCUCAUGCAGCAGGAGCGGCCGAUGUCUGAUUAGCUAGUUGGUGGGGUAAAGGCCCACCAAGGCGACGAUCAGUAGCUGGUCUGAGAGGACGAUCAGCCACACUGGGACUGAGACACGGCCCAGACUCCUACGGGAGGCAGCAGUGGGGAAUUUUGGACAAUGGGGGCAACCCUGAUCCAGCAAUGCCGCGUGUGUGAAGAAGGCCUUCGGGUUGUAAAGCACUUUUGUCCGGAAAGAAAUCGCGCUGGUUAAUACCUGGCAUGGAUGACGGUACCGGAAGAAUAAGCACCGGCUAACUACGUG